UGGGGAAUAUUGGACAAUGGGCGCAAGCCUGAUCCAGCCAUGCCGCGUGAGUGAUGAAGGCCCUAGGGUUGUAAAGCUCUUUCACCGGUGAAGAUAAUGACGGUAACCGGAGAAGAAGCCCCGGCUAACUUCGUGCCAGCAGCCGCGGUAAUACGAAGGGGGCUAGAGUUGUUCGGAUUUACUGGGCGUAAAGCGCACGUAGGCGGACUUUUAAGUCAGGGGUGAAAUCCCGGGGCUCAACCCCGGAACUGCCUUUGAUACUGGAAGUCUUGAGUAUGGUAGAGGUGAGUGGAAUUCCGAGUGUAGAGGUGAAAUUCGUAGAUAUUCGGAGGAACACCAGUGGCGAAGGCGGCUCACUGGACCAUUACUGACGCUGAGGUGCGAAAGCGUGGGGAGCAAACAGG
rnacentral:rRNA from 1 species